rnacentral:lncRNA from 1 species
GCUGAGUGCCACCACCAUUUCAGGGAACACUGACCAAACAGAAGAUUCCACGCUGCUUUGCUGCGGUCAUGUCUGAGUUUACCCAAGAGGGGAAGCUGCUCCAACAGAGGAAGUUAAUUAGACCAGACAAGAGCGGGGAGCAGAGGUGGAAGACAGGGAUGAGACAAGAAACUGUGGAGGACAAAAAGAGCUGAUGAUGCUGGGUGCACUCUGAAAGAUUUUAAACCUGG